CAUUAGCUUACUAGAUCAUCAACAAUGAUUUGAUUAUUGUUAUCUUACAGAAUACGUAUGAGUUGUUAGCAGCAAAGCUAAUUGGUGAUUGUUCACCUGAGAGACGGCAGGGAGUUACAUCGAUCUGGUGGAAUAUAAAAGGGCCAGAGCUUGAUUAAAAGUUACACCUAUUAAGUUACAAAAGAGAACAGGAUGAGAACGCUAUUUAGCUUAGUACGCAAAGAGGACAAGGGCAGAGAGCACAGGUGCCCCCUACACACAGAGAACAGGAUGAGAACGCUAUUUCGCUUAGUACGCAAAGAGGACAAGGGCAGAGAGCACAGGUGCCCCCCACACACAGAGAACAGGAUGAGAACGCUAUUUAGCUUAGUACGCAAAGAGGACAUGGGCACAGAGCACAGGUGCCCCCUACACACAGAGAACAGGAUGAGAACGCUAUUUGGCUUAGUACGCAAAGAGGACAUGGGCACAGAGCACAGGUGCCCCCCACACACAGAGAACAGGAUGAGAACGCUAUUUGGCUUAGUACGCAAAGAGGACAUGGGCAGAGAGUACAGGUGCCCCCUACACACAGAGAACAGGAUGAGAACGCUAUUUGGCUUAGUACGCAA
ensembl:lncRNA